GAUGAACGCUGGCGGCGUGCUUAACACAUGCAAGUCGAACGGAAAGGCCCUGCUUUUGUUGGGUGCUCGUGAGGCGCAGGCGUGAGUAACACGUGAGUAUACUGCCCUUGACUUUGGGAUAAAUCCAGGAGACUCGGGCUAAUACAGGAUAUGAGAUCCUGCUGCGUGGUGGGGGUUGGAGAGUUCCGGCGGUUGGGGCUGGUCUAGCAGCUUAUCCGCUUGUUGGUGGGGUAGGUGUUUACCAGGGCUUUGACGGGUAGGCCGCCUUAGAGGGUGACCGGGCACCAUGGUACUGAGAUACGGCGCAGUCGCCUACGGGACGCAGCAGUCGGGAACAUUGCGCAACGGCCGCAAGCCUGAUGCAGAAACGCUCCGUGCGGGAUGCCGGCCUUCGGGUUGUAAACCGCUUUCUCCGUUGAUGAAGAGUGAGUGACGGUAAUGGAUAAAGAAGCACCGGCUAACUACGUG
rnacentral:rRNA from 1 species